AGAGUUUGAUCAUGGCUCAGAAUCAACGCUGGCGGCGUGCCUAACACAUGCAAGUCGCACGAGAAAGGGUAGCAAUACCUGAGUACAGUGGCGCACGGGUGAGUAACACGUGAAUAAUCUACCUCCGAGUGGGGAAUAACUUAGGGAAACCUGAGCUAAUACCGCAUAACACUUACGAGUCAAAGCAGCAAUGCGCUUGGAGAGGAGUUCGCGGCAGAUUAGUUAGUUGGCGGGGUAAUGGCCCACCAAGACGAUGAUCUGUAUCCGGCCUGAGAGGGCGCACGGACACACUGGAACUGAAACACGGUCCAGACUCCUACGGGAGGCAGCAGUGGGGAAUUUUGCGCAAUGGGGGAAACCCUGACGCAGCAACGCCGCGUGGAGGAUGAAAUCCCUUGGGAUGUAAACUCCUUUCGAUCGGGACGAUUAUGACGGUACCGGAAGAAGAAGCCCCGGCUAACUUCGUGCCAGCAGCCGCGGUAAUACGAGGGGGGCGAGCGUUGUUCGGAAUUAUUGGGCGUAAAGGGUGCGUAGGCGGUUUGAUAAGUCUGAUGUGAAAUCUAUGGGCUCAACCCAUAGUCUGCAUUAGAAACUGUCGGGCUUGAGUAUGGGAGAGGUGAGUGGAAUUUCCGGUGUAGCGGUGAAAUGCGUAGAUAUCGGAAGGAACACCUGUGGCGAAAGCGGCUCACUGGACCAUUACUGACGCUGAUGCACGAAAGCUAGGGGAGCAAACAGGAUUAGAUACCCUCGUAGUCC
rnacentral:rRNA from 1 species